rnacentral:misc_RNA from 1 species
AAUGAAAAGAAUUAUUAUUCAUGGAUUAAGAUCGAAGUUUAAUCCUACCAUCAUUGCAAUACGUGGUUAAGCAACCCAAUCGACAUUGUUAGAACUAAAAAAUUUACUAGUUGAAUAGGAAAUGCUAGGGAAGAAAAAUGUGGGGACUUUCUCAAAAAAGGAAGAAAAAGCCUUUUCAACAAAAGACGAGGAGGUAGACAAGGGUUGAAUGUUAGUGGGCAACUAAAGAAAAAUCAAGAACGGUCAAAUAAUCAACUAGGGGUGAGCAGGUUUUGGUUUAAACUGAAAAAUUAAAUCGAACCGAAUUGAGUCAAUUCGGUUCAAUCAGUUUGAUUUUAAAAUUUAAUCAGUUUUGUUCGGUUUUAUAUUAUAAAAAU